UUGAACGCUGGCGGCAUGCCUUACACAUGCAAGUCGAACGGUAGAGGAGCAAUCCUCGAGAGUGGCGAACGGGUGAGUAAUGUAUCGGAACGUGCCCAGUAGUGGGGGAUAGCCCGGCGAAAGCCGGAUUAAUACCGCAUGAUACCUGAGGGUGAAAGCGGGGGACUCGCAAGAGCCUCGCGCUACUGGAGCGGCCGAUAUCAGAUUAGGUAGUUGGUGGGGUAAAAGCCUACCAAGCCUGCGAUCUGUAGCUGGUCUGAGAGGACGACCAGCCACACUGGGACUGAGACACGGCCCAGACUCCUACGGGAGGCAGCAGUGGGGAAUUUUGGACAAUGGGCGAAAGCCUGAUCCAGCCAUGCCGCGUGCGGGAAGAAGGCCUUCGGGUUGUAAAGCUCUUUCAGCAGGAACGAAACGGUGGCCCCUAAUACGGGCUACUAAUGACGGUACCUGAAGAAGAAGCACCGGCUAACUACGU
rnacentral:rRNA from 1 species